rnacentral:rRNA from 1 species
GACGAACGCUGGCGGCGCGCCUAACACAUGCAAGUCGAACGAGCGAGAGAGAGCUUGCUUUCUCGAGCGAGUGGCGAACGGGUGAGUAACGCGUGAGGAACCUGCCUCAAAGAGGGGGACAACAGUUGGAAACGACUGCUAAUACCGCAUAAGCCCACGGUGCCGCAUGGCACAGAGGGAAAAGGAGCAAUCCGCUUUGAGAUGGCCUCGCGUCCGAUUAGCUAGUUGGUGAGGUAAUGGCCCACCAAGGCGACGAUCGGUAGCCGGACCGAGAGGUUGAACGGCCACAUUGGGACUGAGACACGGCCCAGACUCCUACGGGAGGCAGCAGUGGGGAAUAUUGCACAAUGGGGGAAACCCUGAUGCAGCGACGCCGCGUGGAGGAAGAAGGUCUUCGGAUUGUAAACUCCUGUUGUUGGGGAAGAUAAUGACGGUACCCAACAAGGAAGUGACGGCUAACUACGUG